rnacentral:rRNA from 1 species
GAGAGUUAAACAGUACGUGAAAUUGUUGAAAGGGAAACGAUUAAAGUCAGUCGUACCUACGAGUAAUCAACCUACACGAGCGCGAUUUUGUGGGUAUGAAGAGGUAAAACCUUCAUGGUUGCAAAUUGGUGUUCUUUGGGCGUACUUUCUCGUAUGGUAGGUUAACAUCAAUUUCGAUCGUUACAAAAUGACGGGAGGAAUGUAGCUUCGACUUCGGUUGAAGUGUUAUAGCCUCUGGUAGAUGUAAUGAUUGGGAUUGAGGAUUGCAACGGAUACCCUCUGGGCUAUUCGUCUGAUCUCUGGAAGUUACCUUGGUGUCGAAAGCGUGCUUAUGACAUUAAGAAUGACGGCCAAAAGGUUAGAACGGAAUUAAAUUCGUUAAGGAUGUUGACGUAAUGGCUUUAAACGA